rnacentral:rRNA from 1 species
ACGGGGUGCAGCAGGCGCGAAAACUUCACACUGGGGGGAACCCCGAUGAGGGAAAUCCUAGUGCUAGGACAUUUGUUCUAGCUUUUCUCAAGCGUAGAUAACUUGAGGAAUAAGGGCUGGGUAAGACGGGUGCCAGCCGCCGCGGUAAUACCUGCAGCCCAAGUGGUGGUCGAUUUUAUUGAGUCUAAAACGUUCGUAGCCGGUUUGGUAAAUCUUUGGGUAAAUCGGGAGGCUCAACUUUCCGACUUCCGAAGAGACUGCCAAACUUGGGACCGGGAGAGGCUAGAGGUACUUCUGGGGUAGGGGUAAAAUCCUGUAAUCCUAGAAGGACCACCGGUGGCGAAGGCGUCUAGCUAGAACGGGUCCGACGGUGAGGGACGAAGCCCUGGGUCGCAAACGGGAUUAGAUACCCCGGUAGUCCAGGGUGUAAACGCUGCCGACUUGGUGUUGGAGGCCCUUCGGGGGCAUUCAGUGCCGGAGAGAAGUUGUUAAGUCGGCUACUUGGAGAGUACGUCCGCAAGGAUGAAACUUAAAGGAAUUGGCGGGGGAGCAC